rnacentral:rRNA from 1 species
AUGAAUUUCGCCUGAGGAUGAGCUCGCGUCUGAUUAGCUAGUUGGUGGGGUAAAGGCCUACCAAGGCGACGAUCAGUAGCUGGUCUGAGAGGAUGAUCAGCCACACUGGGACUGAGACACGGCCCAGACUCCUACGGGAGGCAGCAGUGGGGAAUUUUCCGCAAUGGGCGAAAGCCUGACGGAGCAACGCCGCGUGAGGGAUGAAGGCCUCUGGGCUGUAAACCUCUUUUCUCAAGGAAGAAGACCUGACGGUACUUGAGGAAUAAGCCACGGCUAAUUCCGUGCCAGCAGCCGCGGUAAUACGGGAGUGGCAAGCGUUAUCCGGAAUUAUUGGGCGUAAAGCGUCCGCAGGCGGCCCUGUAAGUCUGUCGUUAAAGCGUGGAGCUUAACUCCAUUUAAGCGAUGGAAACUACAGGGCUUGAGUGUGGUA